CACAGGUCACUAUCAGCACUCAUUCACAACCAACAAUGCAGCAAGUUUGGCAGAGCAGAUCCCAAGUGCUCCAUCCAAGGCAGCCACCCCAAGGGAAGUCAUGGGGACUUUACUCCCUUAGAGUUCAACAGGGGAUUUGUUCAUAAAGCUGAGUUUGUGACAAGAAAAUCUGUAAUAAACUACUGUGUAUGUAUAACCCAGAACAAUUUACCUACUUAAAUAUUUUUACGUUAUUGAUAAUUUUAUGUUACAAUCUUUGGUUUAUACCCUUAUUUGAAAAGGCAUUUUUAUUUGAAUGUUGUUAUUCAGUAGAGGCUGAAUGCCGUUUUGAGCUCCUCAAAAUAACACUGACAAUAUGCUCAAGAUAAUACCGACACCUCUGAACUAUCUCCAGUGAAAAAUAAAAAAGAAGCUCAACAUCAAGUGUUAAAUCAGGGCAGUACAUAUUCAUUAAGCAUUAGAGCAGUUAGCCCUCAAUUUCUGCCUGAGAAACACCGUCUUGCCACUAUGCAGAAAGUGCACAUUCUUUUUCAAUUCUUGUGUCAUACGUUUUGUGAAGAAUUUUAAAGGUGCCUUACUACGCUUGUAAACAUGCAAACCCGAACAAGACAAAGUGGCUCCGAGUUUUACUUAAGGAGAAAAAAAAAAAAAAAACAAACACCCCCCGUUUCCCAGCCUGCGUCAGCAGUGCACAAUGUACUCCCAGCCCUAAGCCAGUGCCAGGCUCUGAGGCGAAGCCGCGCUCCCUCUGUCAGCAGAAAAGUCAGCGCCUCAUCUGCGCUCAUCUCUGCAGCGAUGUUCCUCCUCUGCGGGGCCCUCGGCUGAGUCAGGCUCCGCUCCCAGCCCUCCGCCUGCACCUACUGCAGGUCCCCGGACCACGGGCAAACCAACAGCUCCCAAACUGGGCGAUAAAAACCAGAAUCCUCACUCAAGCCGAGCCGUGGGGAACUGGUGAUAAACAAGGCAAGCGGGCUGCACGCCUCAGCCAGGCCAGUUCCAGCGUUGACACCCAGUGGCUGCUGGUAACUAAACUUGAAAGUGUCUUUAAGAAACUCUGCACUUCCUCGGCUUAAGUGGUAAAAACUGCAAGCGUGCAACUUUCAGAGCAGCCUGGCAGUUCUGCGGGGUCAACACGUGUCCGAUGCAUAACGCAGUGACUGUGUAAUCAUGGAAGGAGAGUCCCUGCGUAUUUACCCACCAGCAGUGGCAGGGUACGUACUGCGCUCUACCAGAGGGUACUGCAGCCAAAAAAACAUACCAGCAGCGGCUCUCCCUGUCACAGCACAGCUAUGCGGGCAUAGGAUGUGCUCAAUCUGUUAGAGGGAGGUGUGCGAGACUUCUUCUUCCUUGCUGAAGCACCACGGGACGAGCAGCAAUACAACAGGAAGCGCCGAGGCGGAGGAGGCUCUGCCUGUACGCAGACGGUACAAGCUCGUUCUGACAAUGCUCUCACGCAACAGUGCCGCAAAUCUCGGGGACACGGGUGGGUGACACUUUCUCGACCGAUGCAUCAGCGCUAAGCCUUUAUCACCCGCGGGGAUGCAAAGCUGGAGGGCUCCAUGGGUCUGGCGCUGCCUCCGCAGCCGCGCAGCCCCAAGCGCAGUUCGCCCGGCUCGCCCCGCAGCCGUCCGGGGUACAGCCGGGACCUGGCGAGCGGGGCCCCGGGAACCGGGGCGGCAGGAGAUCCCCCCGCGGGGUUCCGGGCAGCACCGGCCGCGGCUCCGAGCACAGAUCCCGGCCGCCAACAGGUUGCUCCCACCGCUCCGCUCAGACGGCAGGGACUGCGCGGCGGGAGAGAGGGAAGGGGGGAGCUCCAUCCCACCACGUAACACAAGAAAGACGCUCCCGCAACUCAAGUUUAACAAAGCCAUCACGUCAAAUACUGCGGCUUACUCAUUAAACACACGGUAUUUCUGCAA